rnacentral:siRNA from 1 species
AAUCUCCUCCACCACCGUAUGUC